rnacentral:lncRNA from 1 species
UUUUUUUUUUUUUUGGUUGCCUGCCACGGUAUCCAGGGUUUUGCCCUGACUAAUCCGUUGGUCGAUCCGAGUCGCACACCUGGUUGUGGUGGGUAAGUCUCCCAACAAGGGUGGUUGCGUACACUAGGUUUCAAACCCGAGACCUGGUUAAGCGGAAUCAAGCUGCUUAUCACUUGGGCCAACCUCGGUUGAUUAAAAUAUCUGUAUCUGUUUUACGGUGUGUGGCUAAUUCUGUUCGACUCGGGUUGAAUUUCUUGUGGAGAAAACUCUCCUGAUAUUAUCCUUUUCAUUUACACUAGUUUGGAAUUCGAAAUUUUAUGAUUAAUGAAUGCAAGUCCUUUGAGCAUAAAUAAACUGAUAAACAGAAGUUGUUGCACAAUUUCGAGUGCAAAAUCUCGAUCGGUUGCUUACCGUGGGCUAUUUUGCCAUGGGAUGUCGCCUGCGCGGUUCUAAGCCACGUGGGUUACAUUACAGUCACUUUGAGGUGGAACUGGACUUUCCUGUUGACUGUUGAUGUCAUUAUGCGUACAUGUUACUAAUUAAUUAAUUUUGCUUGGCAACUUGAACUUGUAUAAUUGGGGACUACUUGGGAGCUGGGAUGGGAGUACAUUUGAGUUUGAUUGUAGACAUUUGAUUUAAAGAAAAUAAUUAAUAUUACAAUAAGAUAAUUCAAUCGAAGUUGCAACUUUUCAUAUCCAAUUUCUUUGAAUUGAUUUGAUGCGAUGAAUAUGAUUAACAGUCAGGAUGGGAUUUUUUUCAAUUUUCUCUCUCUCUCUCUCUUUUUUGUGAUUUGGGAUUAAGGAUGUAAACACUACUAAUUAACUCGAACACCAUGGUGUUCAAACUUGUUUAAUUAUUUUAUCAAGUUUAAAAUUUUGUGCUUGUUAAAUUGCCAAACCAGCUUCCUAUUUGACAAACCAAUUUUUUGCCAAAAUUUUCUUCCACAUGUUGUUUUAACAUUUUAAACUAUAAGAAUCUUAAAAAAAAAAAUUAAAGUUUUUAAUAUACACACCUUAAAAUAUCCAAAAAAACACACAAGAAAAUUUUCCCCUCUUUCGUUUCUUUUUCUUCCUCUCCACACCUCAACCCACCACCACCUCAAUCGUCGACCGCCAGCAGCCUCAUUUUUUUCCCUCCUCCUUUUCUCUCCUCCUCCCUCCUCCCCAUCCCUCUCCUCCCACUCCUUUGUCCUACCACCCUCCCCCUUAAAAAGUUUUUCUAUAAAUUUUAUAAUAAUUUACGAUAAAAUUUUAUGCUAACACAAAAAAAAAUUAAACCCGAGUUUGAACGUUGUUCAAAUUUGACUUGACUAGUUACCGAAUCAAACUCGAACGAAUAUUACAAGUUCAUCUCUCUAGUUUAGACAUAUUAUGGGACGGAGUUUACAAUGAUUAAGCUGUCCCUGUGAUAAACGAAACAAAACACGUCUACUUUUAUCUCGAGAUAAUAUUGGGCUGAGGAAAGCCCAACCCAAGAACCGAUUUUCUUUAUAUUUUCAAACCAAUAAAAUGGGGGAAAAAUAGCAUAUAAAUACCGGUGACUGGAUGGAUUCCAUCCUGUUCCUUCACGAAAGUUCGUUGCAGGGAGAAAGAGUUUCCAGUGGAUAGCGUAGGAGAACUUUGAGCCGAUCACCGGACGCCGAGGAAGAAAGUCAGUAUGUCACACUUCGGAAGGUCAGGUCCGCCGGACAUCGCCGACACCUAUUCUCUUCUUGCCCUCAACAUAACGUUCCGUACGUCUCUUCCACAAAGCCCCCCCUUCCCUUUCUCUCUUUAUUUGUUACAUUUUAUUUUCUAUAUUUUUUCACUAUUCGUUUUCUCUUGUGGUGGAAAAUAAUCAAUAGGCACGAACGCUGAUGAUCUCUUUCCGCUGUUCGAUAGGUAUGGAAAGGUUGUUGAUAUCUUUAUCCCUAGAGACCGAAGGUUUGUUUUUUUCCUUUCUACUCUCUGUCCCCUUUUUAUUCGGUUCCCUCUUUGCAUUUGUUAGUUUUAAUGCAAAAGUUUUUGUUGAAGAAAUGGAUGGUGUCAUGCCCUAAACAAUCAGAUUCAAGAGUUUAUAGUAGGUCUUUGUUGUUUUUGUGGAAAUAUCGCGGACAUGCUGAUCUCUGCUGCUUCAUGCUUAACCAAUUGCCUAAUUUCGAUGAGAAGUUUGUCCUAAACGGCUUCUUUUUUAUUGUUAGAGUUUAUAAAAGCGGAUUAUGAAACAGAUGGCUGUUGAAAAUCGCAUUGGAAGCAUGUUUUGUUGAAGUGUUUUUUCAGAAGAAAAUAAAUUAUUUUUUUAAAGCAUCCAAGUAUCUUUGUUGCAUAACUGUAUUUUGCUGCUUCGAUUAAGCUAAAGGAAAUGACAGAAGCAAAUUGAGACCACUUACAACAGCUUUUAGCUUGAUGAAAAGAUGUGGUUAGUUGAAAACAUGCACUUAGUCAUUGACAUUGUUUUACUAUAAUGAUAUUGGAUGCAGAAAUAGCAUCUUCUCCGUAUCUUAAACCUAUUAGUUAAUAGAUGAUUGAUUUUUAUUGAAAAUUUGUGUUCUACUUUAUCUCCAGUGGUGCAUUUAAACCGUGCUCUGAAAUUCAUAGAGUGAACAUUGAACUGAUAAAAAUGGAGGUCCUUUUCUCCAGAUCUCUGUAUUUGGUUGCAUGUUUCUUAUUUUAAUCUUAAUUAAUUGCAGGACUGGUGAGUCACGAGGGUUUGCAUUUGUCCGCUAUAAGUAUGCAGAUGAAGCCCAAAAAGCAGUGGAUAGACUAGAUGGUAUAUUUGUCCAUUAUAUGUGGUUGAAAGGAUAAGUUUUAGCUAUUCUUUCUGAAGUAAAAUCAAUCUCAAACUCUGUGCUAGGGGAAUUGUUGGCAUGGAAUUCGAUGCCCAGAAUGAAUUUUUGUGAUGCUUUUCAUGGAACAUGCCAAGUAUUUUUAAUCCUCCUACUGGCCUUCCCUGCUCAACUUUGGUGUUCAUUUGACUUAAUGAUUAAUAAACCCGUAGGGAAACUGGGGGAGAAGAUAUAUCUGUGGAAUUGGAGAAGCCAAUUUAUUCAUUCUGCCUGAGCUUCCUGGGUACUUAAUUAUGGCACAAAAUAGAAGCUCCAAUGCACAUGAUUACAGGCUUUCUACUUGUUUAGCUUACUGGCAGCUUGUGGCUUAUCUUCCAUGCUCAAACCAAAGGUUCAUUUGCAUUUAUAAGAGUAUUAAGCUGGAGAACGGGAAACUGAUUUUGUAAUCUGCUGCCACAUCAUCAUCUUCUAUGUCCUAGACUGGCUUACAUGUUGUACUCCAGCAGACUGCUAUACAGUCACGCUUGAAUUUUCACAAUGUUGCAAAUGUUCACAAUCUCCCUAUAUGGCUUCACGAGUAUCAUCAUGAGAGUUGUUUCUGAGAUCAUCCUUUUGUGUAUCAGUAGAAAUUUUCUGGUCAACGUGUAGGCAAAUGCAAUUCCAGCAUUAGCUUUGUGGAAUUCAUUAAAGUGAUCUGCAUGCAGAUCACUUGUUGGAGACAGUAUUAAUAUAAGAAACUGAUGUACAUACUUCUUCACUUGUCUCAGCCUUUGUUAAGUAUGUUUCAGUCUAAUUAAUUGUUGUUCUCUUGAUGCCAUGUUGGACAGGGAAAUUGGUUGAUGGAAGAGAAAUUGCUGUCCAGUUUGCAAAAUAUGGGCCAAAUGCAGAGAGGAUGUAAGUCUCUCUUGCCUUGACCUCUUUCUUAAGUAUUGUUCAUCGAUUGAUUGUCAUCCUUCUUUGCUGUUAUUAUGUCCAGUUCAUAUACAACAGCUUUGUUUUACUAGUUGUGAAAUGACUUUCACUUGUGCAGCUAAUUUUUUCUCCAUUUAAUACCAAAUUCUAGUGGGAAAGUUAUGCCCUAUGUAUGUGCAAUUCUAAAAUCAAUUUUAUAUGGAGGAUAAAGAAAAAAAUGAAUAAAGUGGUAUUGUUCAAAGUUAUCAUGAGUUAUAGUUAUUCUUGGUAAGUUUGUUAUGACAAACAUUGAAUGAGGCCAUAACAAAGAUUCUAAAGUGACAUAAAUUAUUAACAUCAAGCCACACUGAUUUUGCUUUUUCUAUAGUAUUGGACAAUUAACAAUAUUUUGUCUUUGUUUUUGUAAUUGUCUAACUUUUCCUCAAUGGUAAAUAUGUUAUGUCUUGCCUACCUUUUGUUUCCAAAUCCUUGUUUGGGGUGUUUUAUCUUUGUUCUCUCUUUUUCCGUGUCUAGGUAUGUAUUGUCUUGAAGCUCUUUUUUUUUUCUAACUGUUUUUCUGCUAAUUCCUUUUCUGGACAUGUUGAUUUGAUCUUUCAUGUUUGGAUCUCAGCCACAAAGGGAGGAUUGUUGAAAAGUUGCCCAGAAGCAGGUUCAGGUCAAGAAGUCGAAGUCCUCGACGAAGGUGAGGUCUUUGCCUUUUUUUGUUUGGGCUCAACUUAUGGUAAUAUUGUCGAGAAAGUGCCACUCUAAAUCUUCUAAAAUUUUCAUUGUCAUGUGACUUCUGUCACGUGUAUGCAGUUUAUUACGUAUAUGACUUCAUGUUGGUAUUCUGUAAUCAUGAGGCUACAUUAUGUUGCUGGAAUUUCAUUUUUUUUUGUUCUGUUGUGUAAGUGUGGCAUGGGUUGCAAUUUGCUGAGAAGUUGGGGUUGGUUUAAGUGUGUUCCAUGGUGUAAGGAUAGAAAGAAUCCAAUACUAGGGGUGUAGUUUUUCUCUGCUCGACUUAUUUUCUGGGGCAGAUGAGGUAUUGCAACAGAAUAUCAUAUACAUGUUGGCUUGUGGUUUACAUAUCAUGUUAGAAAUUAUUGGCAUUUCUGGCCUUGAAUUCUUCAAGAUGCCAACAUCUUUUUCUUUUUACUGGCAUAAAUGGGGAUACGACUUUUAGGACUCAACUGUUUUCCAGGUAUCGGGAUGAUUAUCAUAGGGGCAGAGAUUACUGGCGGAGAAGUCGGAGCAGAAGUUGGGACAGCUAUGAGAGUGAUAGGUACUGAGGCAGGGAACGAGAUUACCAUUAUCGAUGCUAUGAUAUCCAUAUGGACUUUUGGUUCACUUGCUGUGUUAGAAUUUUUUGGCUUCUAGCCUUGAAUUCUUUCAGAUGCCAACAUCUUUUCCAUUUUACUGGCAUAAAACGGGGAUAUGAUUUUGGGAUUGAACUGUUUUCCAGGAAUCGGGAUGAUUAUCAUAGGGGCAGAGAUUACCGGAGGAGAAGUCGGAGCAGAAGUUGGGACAGUUAUGAGAGUGACAAGUAUCGAGGCAGGGGACGAGAUUACAAUUAUCGAAGCAGGGGACGAGAUUACCAUUAUCGAAGCAGGAGCCGUAGUGCAAGUCCAUAUGAUAGAAGCCAUAGGAGGGGUCAUUAUGAUGAUGAAAGUCCAGAAUAUGAUAGAAUUCGUGGCAGGGGUCGACAUGAUAAACGCAGGAUGAGUAGUAGUAUAUCUUCUGAAAGGUACUGUAAAUGUUAUGUCUGCUCUAUUAUUAAGACUACUGUUUUCUCCUAGCUAAAUUGUUCUGGAAAUGUUGCAGUGCAUCGCUGCGCCGGCGUAGCCCCAGCUCUCAGAGUGAUAUAUCACCACGGAGCGCAUCAUCCCCCAGGAAUGGUACUGGUGCUCUAACCCAUAAUGAUCUGUACUCCACUGCUCAAAGCUUGCCUCCACAAGGCCGAGCUGCUGAUUCACAAAGCCUCUCUCCCCUCAAUUUAGAGAAGGUCGUAUCCUGAGUUGUGUUCUGCUUUAUGAAAUUUUACAGGCAAUGACCUAAUAUCGUGAUGCUUCUCCUUUUUUUUUUUUUUGCAGGAGUGAUGGUUUUCUGGAAGGCACCCUGCUUUAAGUCAACAUGUUGAUUAUGUUGCAUGUUCUACAUUGUGGUUUUAGCCCAUGCUUUUGGUAGGAGGAUCCUCUGAAUCAACUAAUUUGUAAUUGGACUAUAUGUUCUGGGGGGUAGUCGUUCCUGUUUCUAAAACUUUAAUGCUAGUCUGAAUCACCUUGUUUUUGGCAUCCAUUUUGUCUCUAUAAAGUUCUGUUUUUGUUCAAUGGUGAAGCAUCACUGUGUGCUUAAUUUAUGGUCUAGAAUGUUCCUGGUGGUUGCAUGCAUUUAUUGUAAAUAUAUUUCAAUUCCCAGUUUCUUCGUGUGAUCUGCAUAAAUAUUUUCUCCUGUCUGGGUGGUUCAUAAAAAUUCUAUAUGAUGAUGAAACUCGUGUUCUAUUUUAUAGCAUGCUCGAGAAAAGGUGACAUGAGGCUGAUGAUUAAGUAGCUGUUGAUGCCGUCUGUUAGUUAGUAGAUGCAUAUGCACUAUUUUAUAGUGGUUGAACAGCAGAAUAUGGUGUGCGGUGAUUGACGUUCUUUGAUAGUUAUGUGGUGGGUAAGGCUUCUUUCCUGUAUAGAAUAUGGCAUUGAAUACUUAUUAAGAGAUUUUGAUGUGUGAUAGGCUCAUUAUCGCAUCUCUUUCUGGCUUGACCUUGUUAUCCUUCAUCUUUGGUGCUUAGAUUGGACUUCAAAUUGGUCAUAUAAUUGUGCACAUGUCCACCUAUUGCUGAUGCUGCUAGUCUGUUUACGUGGUAGAGGGAGAGAUGUAGAAGCACAUAUCCAUCCACCACCUAUUGCUGAUGCUGCCGGCGGGUAGAUCUUUUACAUGGUAGUGUUGGCGAUGUAGAAGCGCGGUAUUGGCCUGAAUUUUGCGGUGGGACCCUAGAAAAAGGGUGUGGUCAUCGGUUUUUUCUUUGUUAGUGUGUGUUAAAUUAGGAUCCUCAGGCUUCUGGACUCGUGGUACAUCUACUGGGGAGAUUAGAUGUAGACGGCCGUGAUAAACAUCAUCUUUGUUCAUCGAGUUGGGUAGGUGUGAUAAAAAAAAAUUAAAAAGAAGCUUCGCAUUAUUUUUUACGGCAGACGUUGCUGGGUUGAUGCUACUUGUGUUUUGGCAGCUUCUUUGUUGGGUUCGAUUCCUAUGGGGAGCUUUGAACUGGAAGAUGCUAAGAAUUUGUCAGGAUAAAAUUGCCCUAAACGAAUUGGUCAUGCAUCUAUAAAGUUUUUAAACAUUUUUCUUUUCUCGUCUCCAUUGGAUUGUUUACCACAGUUCUGGUUUCGACUAUUUGGGACACCAUAUGAGUUUUACCGAAUAAUUCAGUAAUCUUGAGAACGAAUCGAGGUCUAUCAUCUGUUGGUGAAGGAAUUUUGAGGCGGCACUUUAAAAAAUAAAUUUCUGAAAUUGGUAACUAAGCAUGACCUCUGCGUCCUUCUCCUUUUGGGAAUUAUGGGUUCACUCUAAUUUUAAGGCUCUAGGAUUUAACCCAAGAGUUGCUCCUGUUCUGUUGGGAAGGAAAACACACUGGGCUAGGGAUGCGUACUCGAGUUCGAAUCGUUACUACAAAGGCAUUACUCGACUCGAUACUACAAAGGCAUUACUUGAGUUUGAGUUUGAAUAAUUGUUUGAAUAUUCGAUAUCGAUUCGAUUAUGCUUGAUUUUCUUGCAAGUAUGAUCAAGUUCGAUACUACAAAGGCAUUACUUGAGUUUGAGUUUGAAUAAUUGUUUGAAUAUUCGAUAUCGAUUCGAUUAUGCUUGAUUUUCUUGCAAGUAUGAUCAAGUUCGAGUCAGUACUUGAAUUUGAGAUCCUUGUUUUAUUUUACAAAUACUCAAUUUUGCUUUUUUAACCUAUCAAAUAAUUUUUUUUUCAUGUGAAAUGACUGUAUGACCUAUAAAUGUUUUAAAGUCAUAGUCAAUAUUCUCGUAAUUUAUAUAACUAUCAAGCCUAAAAGAGUAAAAAUAUAAUAAUUUAAUAUAUAAUUUUAAUUAAUUACUUGAUGCUCGAUAAGAUUCGAUGAGCCUUCGAUCCUAAAAAAAUAAUACUUGAACUCGAAUUAAAGUACACAAUCAAGCCACUGAGUCGAGUUCUUGAUCGAGUUACAUGCAAGUGGUUCGAUUACAUCCCUACUCUAGACUAGGCGAUGAUCACAAAAGGAAGGAGCAAAGAUUAAUGAAUAUCUUAUUUUUGGAUGAAGACACCAAUGCCUUUUUCCCUGCAAUGGAUCUUCUAUCCAAUAAUAAUUGUUGGAUCUUAAGGAAACAAAAAAGAACUAAAACAUGAUGUUUAUGAAGGAGAAAUAGCAAUAUAAUAAAAAGUGGGAUACAGAGUUGCAUAAAAUAUGAUAUAGAAGAUCCGUUGUGCUUUUUCCCCCUUACAAUUAAUAAUUUCUUAUUUCCAUUGACCCGCAGCAUAACAACAGUGCAAAAAUAUUGGAUCUGACGUCUAUGAUAAUUUUUAAUGAUAUAUCUUUAUCCACAGCAUUAGAAGGGUACUUAAUGGAGAUAUGUAACAACGCACGGUGCAGAAUUGGUCCACCAUACAACUUUGCAAUCCCUUGCAAGUAGGUUGCACGCGAGUUGAACCAAUAAAAAAUAUUCAGUUAGUUAGUUUGUGACUCAGUUCGAUUAUAUAUAUAUACAUAUAUAUUUAUUUAUUUAUUUUAAUAAUAAAAUUAUAUAUAUUCUUAAUAUUUUAUUAUUUAUUAAGAAAAAUUAUUGUUUUAUUCAUUUUUUUUAAAAAAAAUAAUUAAUUUUUAUUUUUUUAAACUCAACUCAACUAGAAUUGGAAAUUGAAAUCGCAACCGAACUUUACAUUGAAAACUCGUCGAAUUUGAGUUCAAGCUCGAACUUGAUAAAAUAAAAUCAAGAUUCGGCUCAGUUAGGCCAAAACUCGUUUCAAUUCUAUUUGUUUGCUGCCUACUUGCAAGUGAAAAGGUGGAUCCGCUCUCCUCGAUGCAUGGACUGCCUUCUUGUUUUCGAUGCCGUUUGCAUUAUAGCUACUUAUAUUCUGAUGUUAAUGGUGCUUGUCCAGUAUGGAAUCUAGGCUCAAGACAUAAUAGUACACGACCACGUUAAUUAAACACCAUAGGCUGCAAGAUACAACAUUAGCUACACAAUGUUGAAAAGUCCAAGCAUUUCUAAGUGGUAGCAGAUUAACAACCACGCCAGCACAUGAUCAACGGAAAUUAUAUUCAGGUGGAGAACCAAAACAGGACAACAGUGAGAUAUUCACCACAAAAGAUACAAAGUUGAGACAGCAUUCUAAGAUAAACAAGAAGUAACACCUUUUUUUCAGGAAUCCUACCGAAAAGUAUAAAGGAAAUGUCAAACUACAUUUACAAUCAGCUAGACCGUGAUCAAAUAGGUGUUUCUUCAAAGUCAGAGGCUAAAAAGAUUUGAGACUCCUACACUGGUCCAAGGAAGUCACCAUUCAAGCCAACGACUGCUCGGAAAUCCGCCUCAGCCUCAACAUACUGCUCACCAAUUACCAUGAAACGUACAGUCACAUCUUUCUCAAUCUUGGAUGUUUCACUUAUGAAGAUUGGGUUUUCUCCAGGCACAUAUCGAUAAUCAGGCAUUUUUUGAUGUGAGAGAUAAAUUUUGUCCAUAGGUCCACAUCUCAAGAAAACCCCAUGCUUCAGAAUCUUGUGAACAACACCUUCCAGAACCUCUCCCUUGAAGAUUUUGAAAGUAAUGCAGCUGAACUCUACUGGAAAGAGUACAUCCCCAGUACGCUCUCUAAUUUUUCCUUCCCCAAUCUUAUCCAAAGUAGUCACAGCAAGAAAGUAACCCAGAUCCUUUGUUGCCUUUUUGGCAGCAAAAUCAUCCAUAAGGCGAAUGAUAAUGGCCUUUUGAAGUGCCAAACCAUUGGAAUCAAGGCUCUCAGGAGGGAUUAUUACAUUCCAUGAGAGUUGUGAUUGAAGAAACAUUUUGCUGUAACCUGUAGAAACAUCAGAACAGAAUAGACAUUUUAAAUGAAAUUCAGAAAAAUUCAAAUGAUCAUUUGACAGUUAGGCUUCCAGGGAAAAGUUUAUAUGUGGUGUUUCUCAAAGUAAAACAUAUUAGCAGCACUAAAUGUGAUGCAUGAAAGAGAUCAACAAGAGUUCCACUAUGGCUACUCGUAAUCAAAUAAGUCUUGAGCAAGAAAGGAUAAUUCAUGGUUCCAUAUGCAUAACUAAAAUCGCAUUGAAACAACUCGGACAUUUCAUAUAUCAUUGCUAUGGGUAAGCAGCGACAGAAAACUCACUAACUUCUGAUAUUCGUCCACAUUUUGCAUUCUUUUUACAUGGUCUUUUAUGUGCAGAACAAGGAACACUGGGCAGGCAGAUGACCUUUUAGUUUUCAUUAUUGAUUCAUCAAUUAUCUUUUAAUAACUUCUCCAACCUCAAACGCACAAGGCUUGGUCUGCCAUCUGAAUUAUCUUGACUGCAAAAACAUAGCAUUAACCUACAAAUGUUGGUGUCCAAAUAAUAAAAGCCCAUUAUGCAUGCAUCUGAUACUUUGGCCUAAUAAAGAUUAAUUAGUACGAUAACUCCAGAAAGGAAGUUGAGAGCCUCAUUUCAAAGAGUUUUAAAUUAGCCAAGUUAUCAACAUAUCCCCCUCUCUCUCUUCCUGCACAUCACCAGUCUCAAAAAGUGAUGAAGACUUAAAAAGAAGUAGCAUAUACAAUCUAUAAAUCAACAUGCAUUUUGACAGACAAAACACAUAAAUCACCAUGUCCAGUGGACAAUUUUCUAGGAGAUAUCUGAUCUCCAUGAGUUGACAAAUCAGAUCUGUUAAACCUCUUUUGCUACCAUAACAACCCCAGGAAGGGGGAGGGGGUUGGGGGUGGGGGAAUAUAAGUAAAAUUUUUUUAAAAAAAUACACGGGAAAGAACUUGAUGGCAUAAUUUAUUCAAUUCUAAACAUACAACUAUACAAAAAAAUACCAGAAUUGGGAGGUAGAUGUCUACCGGAGGCCAUUGCACAAAAAAUAAGACGAGACUGUACGAGCUCCGGACUUUAGCUUAAGAAAGGGAAAGGCAAUAGCUGCAACAGGCCUUGAUUAGACCCAUAAGAUCCUAAAUCAGAACAAUGACCCACAAUGUGGAGAAAAAUCAACUGUCUAGUACACGGUUUGGACUCAGAUAAUCCAACCAACAAACUCAACAAACAGCAAGACUUCUACAAUACUAUUAUCUACUAUCUUAUCAGUUGUUAUUUUCUUCCUUUUUUUUUCCCUCUAGAACCAGAAAUUUUAAAGAACCAUUCGACAACCCUCGAAGAAGGCCUAAAACCCAAAACCCUUCGACCCAAAAUGCCAACAUGCUGUAACAUUCAACCUUCACGACUUCAGCAGUUCAUUUCACACACAGAAGAAUCGGAGAAUCCCAUAACAUACGAAAAAAUUCCAAAAAGAAAAAGCGAAAAAAAAAAAGCAAUCUUGAACUUGAUUUUCUCCGAUUGAAUGAAUGUCAAGACAAGGUAGAAGCAUGCUAUGGAGAGCUGCUGGAUUUAAAAAGGUAGGAGGGGGCUAUACCUGGUGAAUCAACUGGACUGACAACCCCUGUUCUCCCAAUGGGGAAUUCGCUUUCCACCUUCCUCACGCUAACCCAGAAACCAGCGUGAAAGUUUCGUACCGAAGCAGGAGGUGUAAAGGAAUAGAGCAGUACUAUUUGCUCUGCUUAGCAAGAGCAUUAUACUACUACAAAAGUUAAGUAGAUACCGUCUAAUUUGAUUAACGUUAAGCAAUAAACAGAUGAAGGAACAGAGAGAUACGACGCCGUUGGGCUCGACAAACUACGCGUUACCUUUUUUUUGUUUUUUGGAUGAUACUACGCGCUACUUAAGCGCCUGAUUAUUAACCGACCCAGACAGAUCAGUUCAAAUGAGUCAGUCUAAUAUUUUAUUUAAUCAGAUUUGUUGUAGUGAAUCGUUGUUUUACUUGGUUUCGGCUUUUUGGUCCAGCGAAAGGGUUUUGAAUUUAGAUAAAUAUAAUAAAUUUUUUAAAAAAAAAGAUUCCAAUUUGAGGUAGACUAAUUAUGAGAAAAUCGUUAAAUAAAUGUUGCACAAUUCUAGACAUUAAUUUUCUGGUUUUUUCCCCUCCUCCAAGCCAGCCAGCUAACGCACAAGACACAGGAAAAGAAGUUGUAUCCUCCCCUCCCCCCCCCCCCCCCGGGGGGCUUCUUUUUUUUCUUAAAUUCCCUCGUUCGUGUUUGAGUAGUUUUUCUUCUUUCGAUAUGCUCUGUAAGCUGGCAAACUGCCAUCAACGCUGCCAUUCUACGCCUCUCUAUUGGCGGGUAUAAAUCUGUUUUACGGGAAAAGAAGAAAAAAAAAAAAGAGUCAACAGCUCGAAGUACGUCUGUAACAUCGCUGAUAUCCAUGAUGAAAAUCAGACCUUGAACGAUGGUAUUUCAUUCUAUGGUUUAGCGAAGGCAAAGAGAAGUAAAAAAACAAAUAAUUCCCAAGGAUAAGGGAAAAGCAGGAAAUAAAUAGGCAAAAAAUCUCAGCGGCCAUUAAACUAUUGUCAGGAUCAUAUUUUAGCCAUCAAACUAUUUUUUGUCAAUACUUGACCACUAAACAACUUAAUCAAUAGGCCCGUGACCAUUUCAUCGGUAAUAACUCUUAAUUUCUGAAAUUAGCAUGACACGCGGCAAAGUACAAGGCAAAUUUGUCCAACAAUUUACUGUCAUAAUUUUGGAUCUUGAUAUGGAUCUUGACCAAAAACACUGUCAAAUUUCUAAUUCCAACAUCCAUCUCUGGGGAAAUCAUCAAUUCUCAAGUAAAGAUGGCGGAUACUACUAGCAAUUAAUGGGGAAGUUGCACGGGAACAACCUCGGAUCCGUGGUACUGGACCACCCGACUCCCGGCGGAGGGCGUCAGUUUAAGAUUUGGUCAGCCUCAUUCCGCCGCAUUAUAGUGGACACAGUUCGGUGCGGGACGCGGCAGCAUCAUAAGCACAACAACAUUGGCAAAUUAACCAUCCAAGAGUCCAAGCCCGAGCCCGACAUUGAUCUCACUGCAGUCACAACACUGAGAUCUGAGUUGAGUAAAGGUAGUACUAGCGACGGUAGGACUGAGACUAAGUAUCCAGCAAACACACCGCCCUCCGGAUCAGACAAGUUAUCAGACCUUCUGAAGUUAUCGGAAAAGGAAAACGAACCGGACGAGGAGGAGGCGGAGGCGGUGAAGAGGAAAGUGGAGGCACUGGAGGAAUUGAAGACAGUGGUGAAGAAUCUCCAAAAUAGCAGUAGCAGUGGCAGCAGCCAACAACUCGAGGAAAAUGAAAACCACGGCUUCUUAGCUCCAGAUAUUCACGUGUUGGAGGCAGCCAAGGAGGUCAGCAGGCUCGCUAAAGGCGAUCCUCAAGCCAAAACCACUCUUGCUUUGCUCGGAGCAAUCCCCCCGCUCGUGGCUUUGCUAGACGCCCCCCCUGCCUUCGGAUGUCUGCCCCCGCUCGUAAUUUGUUUCAACAGUUAGUAAAUUGUUGGACAAAUUUGCCCUGUACCUUGCCACGUGUCAUGCUAAUUUCAGAAAUUAAGAGUCAUUACCGACGAAAUGAUCACAGGUCUACUGAUUGAGUUAUUUAAUGGUCAAUUAUUGACAAAAAAUAGUUCAAUGACCAAAACAUGAUCUUGACAAUAGUUUAAUAGCCGCUGAGAUUUUUUGCCCAACAAAUAAUAUGCAAGAGCUUCAAGACUACACCGAAACUUUCAUCUACAAGACUCCACAUAGGAAUUGAAUCUCUACAAGACUGCAGAGUGCGCCAAUGUGGGCUUAAGCAGACAAGUUAAUAAAUAGAGCCAUAAAGGUAGUAGUGUUAACAGCACAAAGAUUAGUGUAUACAGCCAUCUGUUUCAAGCCUCAGAACUCCGUAGUAUGUACACAGCACUCCGCAAUGUUUGAACUAACAUACAUAUUGCAAUCAGCUCAUGGUGUAGGCAGCCUGUUGAACCUCAUCAUAGGUGCCUGAUUCCUCAUUAUAAGAAAACCUACACGUAAAAAGGUUAAAUUUCAUUGAGUGUGCCUCCCGGUUGAAAACAUAAUAGUAGACAAGAAACAUUAAACACAAGUACAUUACCAUUGUCCCGAUGCCGCAUAACAAUAUAGCCCCGAAGACGGAUCAUAAUAGUAACCCAGCCUGCUACUAUAGUAAUAACUGAACACAAGAAAGAUCGGACAUUGUAAGCCAACUUCCAAGGUUUAAACAUUCAGAGAUAUUUGUUAAUCUUCGAAGGGCUCAAAAUCAUAAAUCCAAGCGGUCCAGCACAAAUUGUUGUCCCAAGCACAUUACCAAACGGAGGAAGCAAAAUUAAGAUGGACUGAGCCAACUUUCUGCUUGAAUGGUUAACAUCACAUUUGUCUUCAAUAACUGAAACGGACUACUUACCAAACAUUCAAUUAUGUAGAACAAUCUUCCUAAUACCCAAAACAUUAGUAACCAAUAUUCAUGAUUGAUUGCACUGUUACAUCACAACAUGAGGACAAGUUCUCAAUUUUCGCAAGUGGUUCAAGAACCAAUGAAGACGAGAAAUAGAAUUAACAAAACCCCAAGUAAAAGAAGGUUAAAUAGGAAUGCUCUGUAAGUCUGUCUCCUUGCAUGACCAACACAGUUUCUUACUCUAUUUUGCCGAACCAGACCAAAAAUCAUGCCAGCUAUUCAACAGACUGAAAUCACCCAUCCCUUCCCAAUUACCAAACUUUGGAAGCAAGGAACUGCUUGUGCACAUCUUACUGAACAAGCAUUCCAAAGCAAAGAAACACUCAACCCAUCCUCAGCCAUCCAGAUUCAUUAAUGAUUUUGUCUUCCAUUUUCGACUUAUCCAUUGGACAUUGGAGUAAAAAACAAAGAAUCCUAACUACUUUCACUGCUGAGGCAAUGUUGUUAUUGGAGCAAAUCUACUUCAUUUUGCAUCUUAAAUUAAUAGGUUUAAGAUCAAGGCAUACCCAGAAGAUUCAUCGUAUACAUAAUCAUCCUGCAGAUCUCCACCUGCAAUGGAAUUCAGUUGCAAGUUAUAACAAAAUUCAGGUAGUGGCAUAUGUACCAUUUUAAAUAAUAAAUAAGCAGAUUUUGGGGUCCAAGCCUUACCUUCUGAAUGUUGACUAGAUUUACUGAGAUCAAGAUUACUCCCAUCAGAGACUGGAUUGAAAGUUGCAUUUUCAUCAUCUUCACCAAACAUAUCAAAUCCAUCACCAAUGUUGUCUGCAGCAGCAGAGCUAUUCAAUGAAGCACCAUUGCCCAUGUUGAAAACGGAAGCAGCCUUCCCAUUGUCCAUUCCAUUGGGAAUGAAGUCCUCAUCAAGGACACUACCAGAUUUCCCUGGUCCUGAGCUAAUGGAAGUGCCUUGCCUCCUUGCCGCAGCUAACUUUUCAUAUCCCUCUGAAAAUCAAGAAAGAAAUGCAAGAAAAAGGGAAUUAUUACAAUAAGGUAUGGACACAUUUAGGGAAACCCACACAAAACUAAACUUUCUGGUAGGAUAGACAACUCAGCACCAAUUAUAACUUCGCUUGUCCGACUAUUUGUCAUUCAGUGUAUGGGCCACAAAAAGCUGUUAGAGAACAAGAAAAACACAUAAUAUGCUAUUAUUCAUCAGAAGUUCACACACAACAUAAUUCAAUGUCUUCAAGAUUUAUCCCUCUCUGUCACUCUCUGUCUUCUCAUAUGAACUUAUAUUUCUGAUUUCAGGAUAGGCUUAAUGAAAUAGACUCUGCAGCUACCUUCCAAUUUCCACAAGUCAGCAAUAGCACUUGUACAUCAGAUUACCAGAACAAAAAUGGUAAAGGCUGUUUAGACAUAAACAAGCAACUAACCAUACCUGCUUCACGCUGAAAAGUUUCCUGUUUUUCAUUAUAUACAUCUGCCAUACCAAAAUAACAAAAUAUGUCAGUUUUCUUCCCUCCAGGAUCAAGUCUCUAAGCACUGAGAGAGUAUACUGAACUGUAAUCUCCAUUGUCCAUCAGCAUCAUAGCAUCUUCAGUCAACUGAUCAAAAAGCUGUUUAGUUUCUGCUGACAUCUUUUCCUUCCUGUUAUUUGAGGUUCCUUUCAACCUCCUCAAGGCUUGCAGAACCUGUAUAUAGUAGCAAAAUGCCACCCACAACAACAAAACAAGAAAUUAACUGUAAAAGUCAACAACUGAAUCUAGGCAUUUGUGACCCUUAAAAGGAUUAUACCAGGACGGUUCAUGAUUAGUUAUGAUUCUAAAAACUCCAAAAAAGUGGAGGUUCCACCAUGGGUAAAACCCCACAAUAAAUGCGAACACAGGGACAAAGAAAGGCUACUUCAACAUCCUCUGGCAGAUAACAUCCAGAAGAAAAGUCUAUUUGCAAAUAAUGACAAGAUACGCAAAUUUUUUAAUAAACUAAAUCUCAAAUUACAUCAAAGCAAUCGACUUGGCUCUCUUAGCAAACUUGCAUGAAUCCACGUGACAGCAAAUAAUGUCAGGCAAAAACAUUUAUAACAUAACUAUAUUUUAAUUUGAAGUGGUAAUGACAUGAAAUACCCUCUCAAAUGGCAAAAUGUUCAUGACAGCAUACUUUGAAGCCAUUUGCAUGGUUUCGCCCAAAAAAAAAUACUGCAUUUUCCACAUUGUAACACAAUACCAAAUAUUAAGAAAAGACAUUCAAUCCUUAUCUCACAUAGAACAGCAAUAACUGAAAAUAGGGAAAUUAGUCUCACCGUUUCCCCAGGCUCAAGGGAGUCAGCGAUGCGCCUGUUGAUCUUCCCCAAAUCGUCAGAUGAAAGAUCAGCAACAUCAUCGUCAUUUUUCGGGACAGCAAAGGUAUUUGCAGCAUAAUCUUUAUUAGCAUCAAUGCUAUCAAGCCAUGCAUCCUGCAAGAACACAAAUACAAAAAUAACGACUACACGCGCCAUAAACGUGUAAGUGCCUAAUAUAUGCAUCUUAGAUUUGCAUUCACACCUUGAUCUCAUUCUCAUUUAAAAAUUCAACAUAAUUUCCUUGUGGAUCAAAGUAGCCUCCUUCUCUCUCUUUUUCCAGAUUAAAAGGUUCUAUCUGGAUCCCAUCUUCAACAAAUGUCUCAUCAUCCUGCAGAAAAGUAAGGUAGCAUUAAUGCCUACCCUUUUUGCCUUUCAUAUAAAUAUGCCUCUUCUCUAUACACUGGACAGAAAGGACCUGCAUUUGAACUCAUUCUAUUUGGAUAAGUUAGUUUUUUUCCCCUAUCAAUAAAAGAGUAGGAAAUUCUGGAAUUCAGGAAGACAACACAUAUAUCAUAAAAUGACAUAUUAAAAGCCUUCAUGAUCAGCCAUGCGAACAACAUGAGCAGGACUGCAGACAACAGAAAAUAUAAUUAAAUAUCUGAAAGUGUCAGAAAGGAAGAGAGAGUUGAGGCAAGAUACUAGUACUCAUUCACCAAAGCAUGCUUCAAUAUUGGACAAAGAACUCUAAAUCUCAAAAAGUUGGCAACAGAAACUCUAGUAAAAGUUCCAAACACCGUAAAAAAAGUAGGGAUAAUUAAUGGGAACAUCAAAAAAUGUUAGAACAGCAUCAUCUUUUCACUGUUAGAUCAUAGACCAAUUAUUUCUCCUCCGAUGAGCCACAUCUCUAAAUACAGUUUAAAAGCACAAUAGAUAAAUAGAAACAAAAAAAUAAUUGUACCAACAUGAGAACACAUGCUUUAAAAAAAUACAUCAAUGCUUGCAUAAGACCACAAGCCAAAUGCCACAAAAAACCACACCUCAUAUUGGACUUCAGCCCUCGUUAUGUCAGGAAGCAUUCCUCUAUUUUCUUCAUCAAGAAGAUCAGCUGCCAUCUGACUACGGAGCCUUCGCCGCUCCUUAGCCACAAGCUGAGGAUCCUGCGAACGAACGGGGCCAUCUUCACCAGGUUGGUCAUCCACAUAAUCCCCAGUCUUCACCUUUUUACCUUUUGGAAACCUGACCCUCUUCUGACUGCACAUGAGACACAUCUCAAAAUCAAUGCAAAAUUCAAGAAUACUAAAUAAAAAGCUAUAUGACCUGUGGAAUUAUGGCCAAGAACAUAUAAUUUUUUCAAAAGAGUGACAAAAGCGUCAUUUGGCAGUCAUAAGACCUAUCCCUUUUUCAGGCUGUCCUUUACGAUUAUAUAUGACUCAAAUUUGCAAAUAAAUGGGAAAAGUGAAAACGUCAGAUAUGCGUAGCACCAUAAUUCCUCCUUUGACAUGGUAUAGAGCUACAGAAGCUCUAAACAAUAACAAGCUUGACAUAUGCAAAAUAAAGGGAAUGAAGUCCCAGACUCUCCUCUCCAAUCUCUAGCGGCAGGAAGGCUUCGAGAAAGGGGCAAAAUAUACUCGAGAAUUAAUGAGCCACAUACAAUUUCUCUCUCACCAAUCCCCCACGAAUAAGACAACUACUAAAAAGCCAAGUCAAACAAGAUUAAAGAUCAACUUCUUGCACUAAUGAUCAUCUCCAAAUAAGUUUCUCAACGAAAACACUGAACGAAACAGCGUUUUACUCAGCCUUUCAACUGCAAGCAACCUUCCCUCAACUCCAGAAGUUCUAAAACACUUUAAAAAACAAUCCCUAAUCACUCGAAAUCAGUAACCUAACCAGACGUCUAGAUUGCUGGGAACACCUAUUGACACACAAACCGUAUUAAUUCAAUCUACGUGUUAAAUUAUUUUCAAGCAUAUCAAGGAGAAAAGCAACCGUUAUCAAAAUACCUCAAUCAACUAUGUAUAUAUACCUUAUUAUCCCAAACCCAAAAUUCAAUCGGAAUGGUGUUACCCAAAAUUAGGGCUUCAUAUUUCUAAUUCCAAACUAUACGAGAGAGAGAGAGAGAGAGAGAGAGUUACGCGGGAGGCUUGUUGGAUUGAUCGUCGUCUUCCACAAAAGAGCGCUUGCGCGACUGCCCUUCUUCCAUGGCUACUCAAAAAUACUCUGCUUGCUACGCUUCUUCACUCACCACUGGUCGUACCAAAAAUUUCGAGAGAGACAGAGAUGUUAGGAGAAUAUUACGGAAAGGCCGUGACGAAGCCGCAUGAAUGCUUAAUUGGGCAGGCUCGGGUGCCUCAAUUCGUGCUUAUCGUAAAGCUUUAUUAGAUUGAUUUUGUUCUGGACUAACUCCACUUUGCAGUUCACACCCUUAAAUUGUACCGCAUUUUCACUUUGCACCUUAAAGUUAAUUUUAAACACUUUACAUUUAAACUCUUAAUUUUAGACACGCUAGCAUUUUAACCCAUGCUAUGCACAGGCUUAUAUGUCAAAUCAAAAUAACAUUGUAUAUAUUUAUAUAUUGUGGUACAGAAUAAUUUUUAUAUAUAGACUAAAAAUUUUAAAAAAGUAUAUGCUUAACAUGUUGAAAAAAUUUAAUUUAUAAUGAUUUACAUGAUAAAUGAAUUGUUAAUGCAUUUAAGGAAAGGGUUAGGUUGGGUGGUAAGUUGAGAAGAAUUUUCUUUAAAAAAUCAAUUUAUCAAUAUCUGACAAAACAUAUUAUGUUAUACCCAACUAUCAAAUCUUAUAAUAUAAAAAUUAAAUUAUAACCAAUUUAUUUUCUUCGAAUUUUAGAAAAAAAAAUUCUUUCUCCUAUCUUGUGCCCCUAAAAUUGUUGACUGCAUUUAGAUUAGCAUUUUUCAUAAACUUUAACGUAUAUUUUUUAAAAAAUCUCUGUAAUAUGUGUUUUUAAAGUUCUCAAAAUUAUUAAAAGUCACCAUCCUUUUCCUCAUUUCUCACCUGCUAGCUAGUCAUCAACUGCCUCCUACGACUUUCAUACCUUCUAUCUUGCUACCACUCUCUUUAUUAUUUUUUUGUCAUCUCUGUCAUAUCCCUUUCUUCUUCUCCCCUUUCUCCGUCCUUCAUUGUAACCCACAUUUCUUCUUUAACAUUUCCCGCCACUCUUCAACUGCUCACUAUUUCCUUCCCUUCCCCUACCCAACCUCUAGAUUCAUAUUCCUACAACUCAAUAUAUUUAACUUUACCUACCGUAAUGAAAAUUAAAAAUUAAAAAUUGAUUACAAUGGUUGCAAUUAUUAGCAUCUAAAAAUAAAAAUAUAAAACUGAUAAUAUUUAUAAUACCCUCAAGUACUACAAUCAAUAUAUAUAUGUAAAUAUAUUAACAUAGCAAAUACAUAUUUACAUAUGAAGACAGCAAUAAGAAUAUAUAAAAUAAUUAAUAAUACCAAAAGUUUAUCCUUAGGUUGUGUUUGGAUUGCAUUUUCCGUCAUUUUUCAUGGAAAAAUUACUGUAACGAUUUGAUAUAUGUGAGGGAAAAAGGUGAUAGGAAAAUGUGAUCACGGAAAACGACAAUAUUUUCCGACGGAAACAAGCAAUCCAAGCAUGGCCUUAGUAUUUGGAUUUUGCACCCUUAUUCAAAUCUAAUCAGGGACAAAUUUUGGCUCAGAUAUAUACAAAUUAAGUAGUAUUUUAGGGUCGAUUGUUCUAUAUAUUUCUCUUAAACUGUAAUGUUACUUUUUAAAAAAAUUUUGGUAGAAUUGGUGUUGUUGUUAUCAUUAUUAUUUUUUAUCAAAAAUGAAUAUUUCAAAUCAAAAUUUCUACAUUAAAAGGCCAGUAGUACUUUACUUUUUAUUUAAUGAUUUCAUAAUUUAGAUUCCAUGAAUGGUACCAUUCUUGACUUUUUAAUUCCACGACAUUAUUUCCUUUUUGUCGAGUAUUUAAUUUUGCCAUUUUACUUAGGAUUAUUAAGGUAAAAGAUAAAUUGUUGUCAUUUACUCUUUUACUUUUACUAACUUUGGCAAUGUUUUUCUCUUUAUUUACCCUCCAGCUAAUAAACUACAAACCAAAUUUCUAUAUAAGUGGAGUCACUUCUUAUUUAUUUAAAUUAAAAAGGCAUGAAAGCCACUUCUUACUUAGGAAAAUGUUAUUUGCACUCUAUUUUUUAUUAUUUGCACUCCCACCAUUUGUUUUAUCAUAGGGCAAAGAGUCCCAGUGGCCCUCAAACUAUUAGCCGGAUGAACUUUUGGUCCCCAAACAAUUAAAAGUAAAUUUUUGGCCCCCGAUCUAUCUAAAAUACAAAAUAUUAGACCUUCUGUCAAAAUCAGUAGUUAAUAUCGACGGAAUCUACGAUCACGUGAGACGCACACCGAAAUACGAAGGGCAUUUUUGUCCACAAUGAUCUGUGUUCCACUCGAUAAAAUGGAGCGAAAAAUAAUUUUGACCAAACGGUUUACUUUCACCACUAUCUCUCCCUCUGUCUGCCAUUAUCGGCUACUGCUGCAAUUUCCCGACUACCAGCACCGUGGAAAUGAUGAAUGUAAAAAUGGCUGCUUUGAGAGUGAAGCCAAACAAAGCCUGCAUGCAAGAGGCACUGCAAAGCAUAGCCACCAAUCCAAAGCCUUAAAGAGGUGGUGGGCCUCUCGGUGACGGUAGUCAAAAGCACAAAGGCAGCCACCAACACAAACCCCAAGUUCCAUAUCAAAUCAAGAAUCACGAAGGGCCUUGAGAAUGGACAUUCUUGGCCUACUGGGAGUGAUGGGCCACGGCCACGGUCAUCCUCAUGCUUCUCUCUCUCCUCCUCCUCAUCAUCAUCAUCGUAAUCAUUGAAGAAAAUCCUGUAGUGGUUCAAGAUGGCGGAGGUCAGUCUGGAGAAUGUGGUGGCUAUAUUGGUGGGGGCCCUUGUGUUAUUGUUGGAGCUGCUGUUGUGGCCAUUCUGAAGAAGAAACAAGCCUUGCUGCUGGUUCUCCAGGUCCAUUUAUCGGGAUGAUAAAAUUCCGGUGGUUGCAAUCUACUCUUUUGCCCGAUGAGAGAGAGCUGGUGCGGUCGGUGGCGGUAGUGAGUUUUGUUUUGUUUUGAGAGAUACGGUUACAGUAGCAGUAGAGCAAAGAAAUGCUCUGUUAGUCGACUCUGCUGCACUUUAGGAAGUGGGGGCCUACUGAGGAUUGAGGAGAGACAAUCAAUCACCCGUCUCUGCAAUUCUCCAUUUUGCAGCGACUUUCCUUUCUUGUCUUCUUACUUCUUCUUCAUAUGCAUCUCUUUGCUGUUCAGCUACAUUAAUUCUUUUCAGAAGCUCAGGUAUGACCUCCGUUGACUGGCUGCACAUCUCCUUGUCAAUCCAAUGCCAAAAUCUGCAGCCACCAUCCGCGCAUACCGCAAAUCUCUGCCCAGCAGCCACAAUCCGCGCAUGACCCUCGAUAUUUUCUCACACCUGUACAAUGGAAAAGGCGGAUUGUUGGUUUCUCGCAUGCUUCCAGUUCAGCAACUUCUUUGGCUGCAAUGGAGUUUUUCUUUGUUCAAGUUCGGGAAGGAGUCCCAUUUUACCGAGUGGAACACAGGUCAUUGUGGAUAAAAAUGCCCUUCGUAUUUCAGCGUGCGUCUCACGUGGUCGUAGAUUCCGUCAGUAUUAACUGCUAAUUUUGACAGAAGAUCUAACAUUUUAUACUUUAGAUAGAUCGGGGGCCAAAAGUUUACUUUUAAUUGUUUGGGGGUCAAAAGUUCAUCAUGCUAAUAGUUUGAGGGCCACUGGGACUUUUUGCCCUUUAUCAUAUAAUCUAAUGAAUGAAAACUAUAAUAUCAAAAUGAUUGUGGAAGUGUGAAUAACAAAAAUGAGAGUGCAAAUAACAUUUCCUUUUAUUAAAAUUAAGAAGGCAUGAAAAGAGGUUAUAUUUGUUAUCUCUUCUUAAGAAGACAUGAAAGCAUGGCCUUCAUUGGAGUAGAAUCGUAAAUAAUGCAUAGCAAUUGGGAAUGUGAUGAGUUAAAGUUCAAAUACAAUAACAUGCACAUUAACUAACAAUUUGAAAUGAAAUGAUUUUACAAAAAACCAACAAAAUCAAAUAUGAAGAGUAGAUGCAAAAGUUGAGAGGAAUAUAUUUUAUAAAUUAAAUUAAAUGUGAAAUGCUAGAAAAAUGGAACUGGGAGUGGGAAGCUGUGUGGAUGCUUGUUGCUGAAAAUCCCUUCUCAAGCUUAUAUAGAUAUAGAUUGCACUUUAGUUUUUAGACACUUUGCACCCAUUGAACUCAGAUAGUUGGACAAGAAUUUGGAAAAAUACCUUUUUACUGUCUUGCUUAAAAUAAAUUACAAACAAAAAAAAUUAAUUGGAGUUUUAAAAUUAGAAGAAAAGCUUGUAUAACUACCACUGUUUAAGGACUACCUUGUGGACAUGGGUAGAUCCUACAUUACAGUGCUUUGCUUCCAUUUCUUCAAUUUAAGACCACUAAAAUUAACAUACUAAAAUUUGACCUUCAUGUGCUUGUUACUUUUUUUAAGGUAUCUUUUGAAUUUAACUAGGCAUUAUUUGGUCACCGGGCACACCAAAUGUCACGAUAGUUUAGUUAUUUUCUAUACUUUAUUUAUCUUUUUUUUAUUAUUAUAUGGAGAAGAGAUGUUGCAAUAAUUGAUUGUGUAUAAUUGUGCAUUGCUGUGUUUAUUCUUUCAAUUGUCUCCUCCGCCCAUAAAUAUACAAAAUGAUUUUCUCCUUUAAGGAAAAUAUUUUUUUUUUCUAAAAAAUUGAUGAAUAGUAUUUUUCCACUCGCUCCAUGAUGACUCGAACCCUUGACCUCUUAGUUUCAACAAAUGGAGCAUCUAACCAAUAAGGCCAUGUUUCAUUGCCCCUUUAAGGAAAAUAAUGUGUUACUUUCUGAAUGUAAAUCAAAUUUCGUUUCCAUCUAGUCUUAGUUUGCAGACUUGUAGACUUUCCCAAGCUCAAAUUGGGAAGUUCAUAUCAUAAAAGCAAUACAUUAUGGAUGUCACUUGCCAGCGUUCCUCAAUUGACUCAGACUUAUCUUAGUUUUAGGAUGUCUUGACGAUAUGUUAUUUUACUUUCAAUAGUAUACAUGUAUUAGCAUUCAGCCUUGGCGCCCGUCAUCAGAAAGACUUUGCCAGCACAUGAAUGGAGUGUUGGAGGGCUGCCCCAACACUUUCACAGAAAGAUUGAGCAGUAUGUAGAAGUUCAACUAGAGGUGCUGCUGCAUCAUUUCUUUACUUGACAUUUCUCAAAAUAGUCAGCUGUAGCAUUCUUAAUCUCAUGUUCAAGACCGUAUCUCUUGUUCCUGCUCUAGUGGAACUAUCCACCUGCAGCACAAAUCUCAUUGUAGCACAAAAAUUUACUGAUAAAGUAGCCAAUUCCUCAAUUUAGGGGGAGAAAAAGAUAAAAAGGGGAGUGCAUAACAAUCUCCAGACAAGGAGCAACAAUGAAUUAUGUUAUUGGACCAAUAACAAUCACGAAAACAAUAGCCAUCUAGGGGCACAAGUGGCAUAGUAGGAUCGUGGAAGUCAACCAGGUUAAUAAGAUGUUAAGCAGAAUAGAGUAACGGUUAUAUUUUCAGAAUUACUUCUCCAGAACUCCUUCCAAGAAUUAGUAAUAUACAUGAAGAGACGUAUACAGACAUCCUGCUAUUCGUUUCCCAGCAAAGAAUGAACAACAUACUGGAGUGAUAAGAUGGAUCUUAAUCAUUUGAGUGACU